rnacentral:rRNA from 1 species
GUCGAACGGGAAGUUUCGUAGCAAUACGGAACUUGCCGUGGCGGAAGGGUGCGUAACACGUGGGCAACCUGCCCUUUGGUUGUGGGAUAACCCCGCGAAAGCGGGGCUAAUACCACGUAAGAUUCCGGGAGCUCCGGUUUCCGGACUGAUAGCCCGCAAGGGCGACGAAGGAGGGGCCCGCGCCCGAUUAGCUAGUUGGCGAGGUAAUGGCUCACCAAGGCUUUGAUCGGUAGCCGAUCUGAGAGGAUGAUCGGCCACACUGGAACUGAGACACGGUCCAGACUCCUACGGGAGGCAGCAGUGGGGAAUCUUGCGCAAUGGGCGAAAGCCUGACGCAGCGACGCCGCGUGGGGGAUGAAGCUUCUCGGAGUGUAAACCCCUUUCGACCCGGAGGAAAGCCCGCAAGGGUUUGACAGUACGGGGAGAAGAAGCCCCGGCUAACUACGUGCCAGCAGCCGCGGUAAAACGUAGGGGGCCAGCGUUGCUCGGAAUUACUGGGCGUAAAGGGUUCGUAGGCGGUGCGGUAAGUCGAGAGUGAAAUCUCCGGGCUCAACUCGGAGGCUGCUCCCGAAACUGCCGUGCUCGAGUGCGGGAGAGGCGAGUGGAAUUGCAGGUGUAGCGGUGAAAUGCGUAGAUAUCUGCAGGAACACCAGUGGCGAAAGCGGCUCGCUGGACCGCAACUGACGCUGAGGAAC